GGACUGAGAGACAUAGGGAGGGAGUGAUGGAUGAUCUUCAUAUUUGACAUCACCUUCAAAUAUGAAGAUCACUCAGUUGGUCAUGAGACGGGCGGGGCCAGUGGAUGGGGGGGGUCCGGGGUCUUGUUUGUAUUGUUUAGUCUAGCAAAAGGGCACCAUCCCCUUCCCCCCCCCCUCCCCUCCAUGACACCAACGCCUCAGAUUGUUGGUGGUAAUUAAAUAUUCAUUACAGGGCAUCCAAUCACAUCGCUCUACAGCCGUUUCUCUCCUGGUGGCCAGGAAGUGGGAUCGGAUUCUUGGGAGAGGGGAGGGGGGGGGGCACGGCACUGCAGGUCGGCGCAGGGGGGUUCAAAGGUCACAGCACCACCACGGGGUCUCUAUGGCAAUGGAGGCUGUAGACACUUGUAUGAUACACCUUUCCCAGCUUCCCGUAAAUCACUUUUACAACCUUGAACACAUGAAACUGAAUCAGUAAGGAAACACACAUAGGAACACACACAUGCUCUCCCAUUUCCCCAACACACACAGACUCGUAGACAAACUUCACACGCACAAAUGCCUUUUCUCUCUCACACACACACACACACGCACACACACACAUAAACUCUCUUGCACACACUCACACACACACACAAAAUCUCUCUCACACACAGACACUCCCUUACUCACACACACACACACACACACACACACACACACACACACACACACACACACACACACACACAAACACAAACUCUCUGCACACACACACACACACACACACACACUCCAAACAGGGCUUUCUAUUGAGACGUAUAGCUGGGGCAAUAAAAUGCACAACUUUUUGUUCAUCUCAAGGACUCGCGGACUGAACUGUGGAGCCGAUCGAUUUCCCCCCCCUGCCCGCUGUGACUUUGGGAUUACCCAUUUGCUCAUUCAUUUUUAAAGACAACUCGUGAGAUCUUUCCCUUCUCCCCUCUUCUCUCCCCUCUUUUCCAACAUUUCUCUGCGUUUCCUUAGCGAUCAACCUCCCCUUGGUCCCUCGGUUGGGUCGUUCCCCCCCCCCAUCCUCUAUUCCCCUCCUCGACCCUGAAAAUUGUAAUUCAGUCGUACAUCACAGCUGUUGAAUAUUACAGCCGUACAAAAGCAGUUAAAUAAAAUAUGUUCAAAUCGUUCUGUCCCAGGGGCGACAGCAGAAUUUCUUAGCGGGG
ensembl:lncRNA